rnacentral:rRNA from 1 species
AAGACCUUGCACUUUUGGAGCCGGCCGAUGUCUGAUUAGCUAGUUGGUGGGGUAAAGGCCUACCAAAGCUUCGAUCAGUAGCUGGUCUGAGAGGACGGCCAGCCACACUGGGACUGAGACACGGCCCAGACUCCUACGGGAGGCAGCAGUGGGGAAUUUUGGACAAUGGGCGCAAGCCUGAUCCAGCCAUGCCGCGUGAGUGAAGAAGGCCUUCGGGUUGUAAAGCUCUUUCAGCCGGGAAGAAAAGGCUGCGACUAAUAAUCGCAGUUCAUGACGGUACCGGAAGAAGAAGCACCGGCUAACUACGUGCCAGCAGCCGCGGUAAUACGUAGGGUGCGAGCGUUAAUCGGAAUUACUGGGCGUAAAGGGUGCGCAGGCGGUUUUGUAAGUCAGAUGUGAAAUCCCCGGGCUUAACCUGGGAACU